CAGCAUUCAAGAUACAAAAAUUUGGCACCCAUUCUGUCAUUCAAGAAAAUAAUGAUGUCUUCCAAUAUUCUUAAAAAACAGAAACCCACGAAAACAAAAGUACCACAAUGCUCUAAAAUCAAAGGGAUAAAUAAAUAAAUAAAUUUCCCAAAUCCACAGCAAGAAAAGGCACAUCUUCAAAUUGAGUGGAAGGGAGGCUAGCU
rnacentral:lncRNA from 1 species